rnacentral:tmRNA from 1 species
GGGGCUGACCGGUUUUGACAGCAAGUUGAAAGGGUAAGUAAGCAUGUCGAGCCAUGUGAUAAAGCUCGUAAAUCCGUGUCACAAACUUUUUAAUUGGCGAAAACAAUUACGCUCUCGCAGCAUAAUCGAAGUUUAGUAGAUUAGCUUUAUCCCGCACUAGGUGCGCGGACGAGACGGCUCGCAGGUGGAGAUGCUCAAUUCCGGCCUGAUUUCGAGUCGCAAGCAAU